AAUUUGUGGUGCUUGCAACGGAUGGAGUAGGCCUAUAGUUCUCAAAUUAGUAAAAAAUUCUAUCUCAAAUUAUCAUAGAAAAAACCCUUCUACAAAAUUAACAAGUUAUAACCAUUUUAGGUUUGGGGUGUGCUAAGCAAUAAGAAGUGGUAUUGCUUAUAUGUUUAGCAAAGAGCGAAGAGACAACAACCAAGGCAGUGAUGAUAAACUCAAAUUAGAAUGAAAUGGAG
rnacentral:lncRNA from 1 species